rnacentral:lncRNA from 1 species
CUGACAUCUUACCAAAUAAGAAAUGGGGCUGGGCGCGGUGGCUCACACUUGUAAUUCCAGCACUUUGGGAGGUUGAGGCAGGAGAAUGGCAUGAACCCAGGAGGCAGAGCUUGCAGUGAGCUGAGAUCACGCCACUGCACUCCAGCCUGCACGACAGGAGCGAGACUCCAUCUCAAAAAAAACAAAAAAGAAAGAAAUAGUAAUAGGUAUACUUAAUUUUUUUUUUAAAGGAAGUUUUUUUUUUAAGAGAUGGAGUCUUACUCUGUUGCCCAAGCUGGAGCGCAGUGGUGUAAUGAUAGCUCACCGCAGUCUUGAACUUCUGGACUCAAGGGAUCCUCCUGCUUCAGCGUCAUCCUCCCAAAUAGCUGGGACUACAGGAAAACAGCACUGCACUGACAAUUGUUAUUUUAUUUAAUUGUUUUUUAGAGACAGGGUCUCACUUAUUAAGCCCAGACUGG